rnacentral:tRNA from 1 species
GGAUAUGGCUCAGUUGGUAGAGUGCUUGCCUUGCAUACACAAGUGCAAAAGGCCCUGGGUUCAAUCCCAAGCACCA